UUAUAUGAGAGUUUGAUCCUGGCUCAGGAUGAACGCCGGCGGUGUGCCUAAUACAUGCAAGUCGUACGCACUGGCCCAACUGAUUGAUGGUGCUUGCACCUGAUUGAUGAUGGAUCACCAGUGAGUGGCGAACGGGUGAGUAACACGUAGGUAACCUGCCCCGGAGCGGGGGAUAACAUUUGGAAACAGAUGCUAAUACCGCAUAACAACAAAAGCCACAUGGCUUUUGUUUGAAAGAUGGCUUUGGCUAUCACUCUGGGAUGGACCUGCGGUGCAUUAGCUAGUUGGUAAGGUAACGGCUUACCAAGGCGAUGAUGCAUAGCCGAGUUGAGAGACUGAUCGGCCACAA
rnacentral:rRNA from 1 species